GGUGGCUCAGUGGCAGAGUGCUUGCCUUGAAUGCACGAGACCCUGGGUUCGAUUCCUCAGCACCA
rfam:Dipodomys ordii contig_11753, whole genome shotgun sequence.